rnacentral:lncRNA from 1 species
GACUGGAUGUAGGUGCAAGGUUAGCACCGAACCACUAUAAAUCCUUGUGUUUGUGGUGUGCUUUAUCUCUUCACUUUAUUUCUUUAUUAUAUUCUUGCAUUCCUGCCUUAGGGAAUUAAUAUUGAAUUAAAGUCUUUAUUUUGUUCUUCAUAAGUAAUCUGUUGGGCUUAAAAUUUUUUAGAAACCCAAUUCACCCCCCCUCUUGGGUUGCAUAGC